rnacentral:lncRNA from 1 species
ACGUUUUACGUAAAAAUAUGUUUAAGAAGCAGCAUAGAUUUCUUUUCUACUUGUUAGGUGAAAUGAAAGAGGUUUGAACAAACAGGCACAAGAAAUCAUAACUAUAAAAUGAGGAAAAUUUGUUAACAUUUACUUUGAAUACCCACACUGAGUAACUGGCGACUCCAUAAAACUUUCCAAAACAUUACCUGACAGGUAGCAUGUUUCGCUUAGAAUUGGAAUUUGUUUAUGGAGUUUUUGGUUUAAUAGAACAGUUAUGUGAAGUACGAUUUCUUGUGCUCUUGCAGACACUGUAGUUCUUGAAAACUACGGCUGAACAGUUCAUUACAUUUUUUUACUGACAACGCUAAAUAAUAUUGAACGCUACAACAUUUAUCACUGUGUGUUUAUAUGGUCAGCCAUCAUAAUAAGCGACUGAUUUUUUUUUUUACCAUCACUUUUUCUCCCGCUGAGGUCUGCUGCCUAAAAGCCGGUUUUAGUCUAUAAGCUUCCAAAGAUCCCCUUCAUCACUGACAACUCAGCGAUGAAUUAACACCCAGCUGUCAGUAAUCAACGAAGACGAAAAGACAGAAGGGUUUAGUAAAAUUUCAUAACAAUCUGUUGAUGAGUAGAAACUCUCCACUCAGUCAGUUAACAAAAAGAAAAGGAAAAAAAGUUAAUAAAUAUACAGCACAUGCCGACAUAAUCUACAAAAAUCCUUCAGAUUUUCGGAAAUACUCAAUACUCAUAAACUACACUACAUCUAAUUGAAACCUUUUCUUAUCAUAUACUGUUUAAAACCUAUGCGCCACGUCAACAUCACGUGGUAGUUAAUACAUAAAGAGAUCCACGAUGAACAGCGAGUAGUUCAACUCCUUAACUUUACACUUUGUCAUCGCCUGUACACUGACUGACAAGAAAACAUGUCUAUGAAAAUGCUGCUGCUCUUUGCCAUAGUUGUGGUGACGGCUGGCAGACUUCGGAGGCAUUAGGAGAAAUAGAGUAAGUUUAUGUUUCUAGAGGUUUUUAAUACAGUUGCGUUUAUUUGUGCUUUUUUAAUAUUUUAUUCCUGCUCAGUAUCUUUAGCUGCUUGCCAAGUAUUCGUGAAACAGAUGUGUUUUCAGUGUACCUUUAAAACAUUCGUUAACUGGUCAGCCAGCAGAUAUGUAAGGAGAGAGAGAGACUUGUAUCUUUUCUGUGCAUAAAAAAAAAAUUAUCAUGUGGACAGAUGUUGGCUGUAAAUAUGGGGAAAAGACGUUUAGGAGAAAUAGUCAGACAGGAGUCAACAAAGUAAUUAAACAUAUGUAAAAACAGUUUGUAUUGAAUGUAUGAGUAGAACUAAAGGAUCGUCAGUGCAGAGAAGGGAAAAGAGGAAUGACAUGGUGUCCGUUUUCUAGCUCUCAGCACCAUAUCUGCUACUAAAGUCUGUACUUUCUUAAUAAGAGCAUUCUCCUUCGGUAUGUGAGCAUGCGCUUUACAAAUUUUGCAUUUUAUUAUUUUUGUUAUUAUUGUUGUUUUUGUGUCUUGUAGGAUUUUGGAGCCACUUUUGGAGGGUGACGGGGGGUUUUCGUCUACAUUGGGAGCUACUGACUUUCUGACAAAAGGUUGUGUAGCAACAGUCCCAUCGACGCAAGCGCCAGAAGACGAAGCUGCUGUAGAUGUCGUGCCGUAGCGCAGGCGACUCAUAAAGCAUCACUUGUAUCGAGAGAAGAGUCGCUUGCCUGGCUGUUGACUGUAAACUAAAUUUUAUAGCUUACUGUAAAAAAAAAUGUAUAAAUUAAACCUUUAAACUUCGAGGCUUCUUGUUAUGUGCCGACCAUUCCUAACUAAACUCCAUCUCGGCUACUCAAGGCAUUUAUGACAAUGCUUUUCUAAUAGAAAUAAAGAAAACAGUCACUUGUAUUACUAGUGUUGGUCUUUUCAUGCUUUAAUUGUCAGAGUGGGAUUUCUUAUGUAUCUUAACUUUAAAUACAAAUCUCUUUAAUAUUGAAAAACUCAUGUCCGUACCUACAAAGGGAACAAAACAUUUAGCACACCUAUGCCAGCUGCACACACAUCUACACAAAAGGCGGACACACUGUGACCAGAGCUGCAUCAAUGGAUUUUGUAUAAGUUAAAUGUGUUUGUUUUCUUAAACGUAACAAUAAUUACAGGAAAAUACACGUUAUAUAUAUAUUUAAAUUUAAUUAAGAAAUUCUGACCAGGUUUAUUUUCUAGAUAUUGCUUAAUAAUUACUACCACACCUGUGUGUGUUCUGUGAUUUUUUCUGGUUCAGCCACCGGUCAGCUGUCAGCUAAGAUUGAAAGUAUUGAAGAUUUUCAUUGCUAAUGGAUUUUGCAGAAAAUAAAUGUGUUCGUUUCCUUAUAUAUAUAUAUUUAAAUUUAAUUAACAAAUUAGGACCAGAUAUAUUUUCUAGAUAUUGGUGAUCAAUUACUACCACGCCUGUAUGUAUUGUGUGAUUUAUUUCUGGUUCAGCCGCCGGUCAGCUGUCAACUAAGAUUGAAAGUAUUGACGAUUUUAUUGUUAAGCAUUAUUAUUAUGCAUUGAGCAAUUUAUCGCAAAGUAUAUAUUUCUUCCUCCCGAAUAGUGAUUACACUUCACAACUAAAGCCUUGUUGAGUUUGCUUACCUGACUCAGCUCUAAACCGUAAGUACACUGUAAAGCUGAAAAAUCCUGUAAAAAAAGCUUUUGUUCAGAUUUUGGAAAUGCAAAGUUUUAUUGACUUGAAUUUCUAUGUAUGAAAUAUUUAAACAUUUUUUUCCAUGCACGUUGUCAACAGGCUUGUCUGUGUGUGUUCUAGAGUUGAUUUCAUUAACCCCUUGCUUGCAGGUUGCCCCUCAUUCUUCAGUCUUAAAGUCCGCUCAACGUUUGGUGCUCAGAAGAUGAAGUUGAUAAUCUUUGUCGGUCUUCUGGCUGCUGUUCUUGGUAAGGACGCCACUAUAGCUCUCGAAAAGUUCAGAGCUAUGGACAGAAACUAAUGAUGGCGUUAUUCUGCUUGAUGAUAUGAUGAUUGGCUUUAACAAGGAUGACGUAAACGACGAUGGAUUGGUGACCCUUGAAGAAUUUUCCACUGGGGUACAUCCUGGAGCUCCCCCUCUUGACAUCGAAAGCGCUUUUAAUUAUUUCGACAAGAGAGACAAUCAGGAAGACGGAAAGCUCGACUCAUCUGCGGUUGUCGCUCUUUUCAAAGGCCUGGACAAUAACAAGAAUGGUGAAAUUUCGCUUCAGGAAUUCAAAAACAAUUAUGUAAAGUUCUUCAACGAUGACGGUAAAGGUCACUGAAAAAGACAUCUGAAAAAGUGACAAUAAAACUUUAACUUCUGAAAACCAAUAAAG